rnacentral:rRNA from 1 species
ACUGGUUGAUCCUGCUAGUAGUCAUAUGCUUGUCUCAAAGAUUAAGCCAUGCAUGUCUAAGUACGAACUAAUUCAGACUGUGAAACUGUGGAUGGCUCAUUAAAUCAGUUAUAGUUUUUUUGAUGGUACCAUACUACUCAGAUAACCGUAGUAAUUCUAGAGCUAAUACGUGCACCAAGUCCCGACUAUUUGGAAGGGAUGCAUUUUUUAGAUAAAAGGCUGGCGCGCGCUUGCCCGCUUCUCCGGUGAAUCAUGAUAACUCGAUGGAUCGCACAUCCCUUGUGUUGGCGAUGCUUCAUUCAAAUUUCUACCCUAUCAACUUUCGAUGGUAGGAUAGAGGCCUACCAUAGUGGUGACGGGUGAUGGAGAAUUAGGGUUCGAUUCUGGAGAGGGAGCUUGAGAAACAGAUACCACAUCCAAGGAAGAUAGCAGGCACACAAAUUACCCAAUACUGACAUGGGGAGGUAGUGACAAUAAAUAACAAUACUAGGCUCAUCGAAUCUGGUAAUUGGAAUGAGUACAAUAUAAAUCCCUUAACGAUGAUCCAUUGGAGGGCAAGUCUGGUGCUAGCACCUACAGUAAUUCCAACUCCAAUAGUGUAUAUUUAAGUUGUUGUAGUUAAAAAGCUUUUAGUUGGAUCUUGGGUCGUAAAGGUCAAUCUGCCUACUCGGUGUGCACCUGCCCUUCCGUCCCUUUUGUCGGCGGCGUGCUCCUGGCCUUAAUUGGCUAGGUCACGGCUCCAUCACUAUUACUUUGAAAAAAUUAGAGUGCUCAAAGCAAGCUUAUGCUCUGAAUACAUUAGCAUGGAAUAACGUGAUAUGAGUCUGGUCCUAUUGUGUUGGCCUUCGGGACCGGAGUAAUGAUUAAUAGGGAUUGUCGGGGGCAUUCAUAUUUCAUUGUCAGAGGUGAAAUUCUUGGAUUUAUGAAAGACAAACCACUACGAAAGCAUUUUCCAAGGAUUUUUUCAUUAAUCAAGACAAAAGUUGGGGGCUCGAAGACGAUCAGAUACUGUCCUAGUCUCAACCAUAAACGAUGUUGACCAGGGAUCGGCGGAUGUUGCUCUAAGGACUCUGCCAGCACCUUCUGAGAAAUCAAAGUGUUUGGGUUCCAGGGGGAGUAUGGUCGCAAGGCUAAAACUUAAAGGAAUUGAUGGAAGGGCACCACUAGGAAUGGAGCCUGUGGCUUAAUUUGACUCAACACUGGAAAACUUACCAGGUCAAGAAAUAGUAAGGAUUGAUAGAUUGAGAGCUCUUUCUUGAUUCUAUGGGUGGUGGUGCAUGGCUGCUUUUAGUUGGUGGAGUGAUUUGUCUGGUUAAUUCUGAUAACGAACGAGACCUCAGCUUGCUAACUAGCUACAUGGAGGUUCCCCUUCGCGGUCAGCUUCUUAGAGGGACUAUGGCCGUUUAGGCCAUGGAAGUUUGAGGCAAUAAUAGGUAUGUGAUGCCCUUAGAUGUUCUGGAGCGCACGUGCGCUACACUGAUGCAGCCAACGAGUUUUUCUUCCUGGGUCAAGAGGAUUGGGAAAUCUUCUCAAAUUGCAUCAUGAUGGGGAUAGACCAUUGCAAUUAUUGGUCUUCAAGGAGGAAUUCCUAGUAAGCGCGUGUCAUUAACUCGUGUUGACUACAUCCCUUCCCUUUCUACACACCGCCCAUCACUCCUACCGAUUGAAUGAUCUGCUGAAGUGUUCGGAUUGCGUCGAUGAUGGUGGUUCGCCGUCAUCGACGUCGUGAGAAGUUCAUUGAAACUUAUCAUUUAUAGGAAGGAGAAGUCAUAACAAGGUUACCGUAGGUGAACCUAUGGUAG